AUGAAUACGGUGACUAUAAUUUGUAAUGGAGUGUUGAAGACUCACCCACACCAGCUGAGAGUGAAAGAGAGAAAUGUGAGAUGGCACCAAUCAACACGGCUCUAUACUUUCUUCAGUAGUACUCAUGGUUCUGGAGAAGAAAUAGAAAAGUCCUGGCCUCCACUGGCUUCCAAGAGGCAGGCUGAUGGGAAAUCCAAAACAUUGUUCUCUGGCCUUUCAGAGGGAUUCCAAGGAGAGUGCUGAGCAUGCUCAUCUUGCCACAAAGUGCUAUCAACAGGCCUGAGAAGAACAGAUGUGGAAAACAAAAUAAAUCUGACUUAAUAUUGUAAUGGGGGUUACA
rnacentral:lncRNA from 1 species